AGUAACGCGUGGGUAACCUGCCCCAUAGAGGGGGACAACAGCUGGAAACGGCUGCUAAUACCGCAUAACAAGGAGAGAGCGCAUGUUCUUUUCUUCAAAGAUUUAUCGCUAUGGGAUGGACCCGCGUCUGAUUAGCUGGUUGGUGAGGUAACGGCUCACCAAGGCGACGAUCAGUAGCCGGCUUGAGAGAGUGGACGGCCACAUUGGGACUGAGACACGGCCCAGACUCCUACGGAAGGCAGCAG
rnacentral:rRNA from 1 species